GGAUGUAAGGGUGAUCUGGAUGUGACAUCUGUCACCCCAUUGAUCACUGGGGUUUAUUUGGUUUGAUCUGGCUGGCUAGAUGGGUGUCCCCUUCUUCCCACACCACUUCCUGUGCAGCCCUCUCAAAGCUUUGUGGUUAGUCAAAAGAAGAUCAAAGAUGACCUUCCCUUCUCUGAAUAGAGACAACCCGGCUUUGGUCAAGAGUAUAUGAGUAGCUACACUACACUACUAAAACGUUCAAACCAGCUCUCUAGAAAUUAUGUGCAGUCUUCUCUGAAAGACAUAAAUAAAAAAGGGGUCUGAUUU
ensembl:misc_RNA 7SK 7SK RNA